rnacentral:siRNA from 1 species
AGUUGAGUGACUGAAAUGAAAC